CACAGAAGGGUCGCCGCCGCCGCUCAAAUCACUCAAAUCACUAUUCCACUUUCUUCCACCACCGAACCAAAAUGUUUCCAGAUUAUCGACUUUCUUCCCUUGUCAAUUUUCGAAUUUGAAAUCCAAUUUGAUCGCAUUCUCACUACUAAAAACAAUUGCAAUUGCUUCGGCAAUCUACGACGGCAUUGGUUUCCGUCGCAAAAACCUAGCAUUGGCGACCGGAUACACGACGGCAACUUCGCCGUUGCAUAUAUUUGGGGAGUGUGCUACGGCAAUCAAAUGCGGUAGCAGGAUUAAGGAUGGACACGACGUCGUAUUCUGAUUAAUGUUUAUUCAAGAGGACUCGGUUCGUAUCUACGCCUCUACCGUAGCGCUCUCUCUCUCUCUCGAUGCCGACGUCCUUUCGCCAUUACCUGUGGCCGGGCUCCGACAUCAUUUUCAGAUCUGUGGCAAGCCUCCUCUAAAUCCUUAUCUGCUUCACACUCUUUCUAUUAGAGUUGGAUCUCGAAAUACUUCGCCUUUUUUUUUUUUUUUUUUCAAAUCUGUGUUGCCUCAAACCCAGCUGCGAGCUCUGGGAAUAGAGAAACCUUGGAACUCUCCUUCUGCCAAAAUGGUAUCUCUCUAGAUUCCAUGCACAAGAGAUGUGCCACUAGAGGCAAGAAGAAGGCGUGGAGAAAGAAUCGAAAAUCUUUAUUUACGUUUGAGAAAUAUUCCCUCCUUUGUCUCUCUCUUCUACCGAAACAUUAUGAUAACCACUCAAGCAACUUUCGCUGGUGAUGAUACUAGUUUCAGGGACAUACAAAUUUGGGCAAUAUAAUGAGAGGAAUUGGAUGAUAUGGCAGCUCAUGUGCAGGUAAUGGGACGAUCCUCUCCUAAUGAUAAGCUUCUGCUUGUUCUAGCGCUAAGGAGAAGGGGACAUGUUGUUGCUGUUACUGGUGAUGGCAAUAAUGAUGCUCCUGCACUACAUGAGGCCGACAUUGGUCUUGCUAUAGGUAUUCAAGAUUCUGAGGUUGCCAAAGAGAGUUCUGAUAUCAUUAUCUUGGAUGACAAUUUUGCUUUAGUUGUGAAGGAGGAUUAGAAUGGGGCUGCUCCAGCUAUAAGUGUUCUGGCGUGGAUCCUAAUAUAAAUUUGAAAGUAUGCUUAGGCAGCAGCUGUGGUUGAUAGUCUGGCCAUCUUUUAGAAGUGAAGGUGCUGCAGUGCUGUUGCUUUGGCUGACUCGUGAUUGUUGCUUGGUUAUAGAUGAUGGGUUUCAUAUUGUAAUUUGAUAUUUUUCAGUUCAUAAUAAUUGCUAUAGAUGGUACUAGCUUUGGCGUGCAAUUCACACCUCUUUUUUUUUUUAUAAAUGAAAUAUUCUUUUGCAACGGCAAAGUA